rnacentral:rRNA from 1 species
CCUACGGGAGGCAGCAGUGGGGAAUAUUGCGCAAUGGGCGAAAGCCUGACGCAGCGACGCCGCGUGAGGGAUGAAGGUCUUCGGAUCGUAAACCUCUGUCAGCAGGGAAGAACGGUCACUGUGCUAAUCAGCAGUGAAUUGACGGUACCUGCAAAGGAAGCACCGGCUAACUCCGUGCCAGCAGCCGCGGUAAUACGGAGGGUGCGAGCGUUAAUCGGAAUUACUGGGCGUAAAGCGCUCGUAGGCGGUAUGUCAAGUCAAGGGUGAAAUCCCCGCGCUCAACGUGGGAACUGCCUUUGAAACUGGCAAACUGGAGUGUGUGAGAGGAUAGUGGAAUGCCAGGUGUAGGAGUGAAAGCCGUAGAUAUCUGGAGGAAAAUCAGUGGCGAAGGCGACUAUCUGGCACAUAACUGACGCUGAGGAGCGAAAGCGUGGGUAGCAAACAGGAUUAGAUACCCCAGUAGUC